CUCCCUCGCUGACCGCCAGCAUACUGCUUCCUCCCCGGCCAGGUAAGUGUUAGCAGAGUAGGCACCUGAAAUAUGGGGAAAACAGGUGCCUACUCUGCUAUUACACUGAGCAUGCGCUCGCGGCUCGCUGGGCCGCAAAGAUGGUCCUUGGGGGCCGCAUGCGGCCCGUGGGCCGAGAGUUUGACAUGCUUGGUGUAUACACUACAAAUGCAUGCCUGAAUUUAAACACAAACAUUCACAUACAUGGAGUCAGGGGUGGGCCCUGUGGGCAGACUUAGAAGUGGG